AAAAAAAAAAAAAAAAAUUCCAUCCCUUUCACUAGCCCUACCGUGGCUAGUUUGGAAAUGGACUAAUUUAAAUCGAAUAGAAUUAAUUAAAUUUAUAUUUAACUCAAAUGAAUUAAAUUAAAAUUAUUUAUUUUAGUUUGGAGUUAAAUUAAAUUAUUUUUCAUUUGAGAAAUAAAAGAAAUUUGACAUAGUUUAGACCGAUGAAUUUGAAAUGGAUCAAAUCAAAUUGAAAUUGAAAUCAAAACCUCGAGAGAUAGCUGUUUCAAUUCCUG
rnacentral:misc_RNA from 1 species